rnacentral:rRNA from 1 species
CAAUAGCGUAUAUUAAAGUUGUUGCAGUUAAAAAGCUCGUAGUUGGAUUUCUGGUAGGAGCGACCGUGCCGAACUUGAUUGUUCGAGUAUUGUGUUGUCUUCAGCCAUCCUCGUGGAGAACUUUUCUAACAUUAACUUGUUGGGAUUGGGACCCGCGUCGUUUACUGUGAAAAAAUUAGAGUGUUUAAAGCAGGCAUCAGCUUGAAUACAUUAGCAUGGAAUAAUAAGAUAGGACUUUGGUACUAUUUUGUUGGUUUGCAUACCAAAUUAAUGAUCAACAGGAACAGUUUGAGGAUAUUCGUAUGAACAUGUCAGAGGUGAAAUUCUUGGAUUUUGAUCAGACGAACUACUGCGAAAGCAUUUAUCAAGGAUGUUUUCAUUAA